GCUGCCCUGAAGGUGCUGUCCUGGACCUGCCAGCACCACAGGUGGGGCCAUUCUGCUGUACCUACGACAUCAGGGCAAAGAGCAAGUGGCUAUUUCUACGCUCAGUGUUCAGAAACCAGUGAGCACUAAGAAUGGUUUAUAGCCUGACAUU
ensembl:snoRNA